AGAUUCUUAUUUUUUUCUUAGAAACGUUAGACAUAAAAGAUUAUUCUCAUGCAAAUUUCUGUCAGAUGCAUCCUUGUUUAAUAUUUCCUUGUAUAAUUCCGGUUCAUUUUGUGAUUUUCCCCUUUCUGGAAAUAGAUUAUGUUAUGGUCAUGAGACAGGAGUGUAGAGAACCUUAGGUCUAACUCUUUUCUCUGAACCACACAGAUCCGCAGUCUUUUAGAUUAAUCAUUUUUUUAAGGAUUUUUUAAAUCAUUUUUUAAGAAAGUCAUUUGUGCAUAAGAUGAAGCUUUUCUAGCAGAACUGUUUAUAUCAAAUACGGUAAUGGAUCUAUGAUACCUGUAAAUUACAAAAGAAUCAGGCCAGGUUUACUUAAGGUUCAGAUUGCAUUCUGUUGUUAUCAGGUGAACCUUUUUGUUCUUUUUGAGUGCACAUACCUUACAUAUACAUUAUGUAGUUCAUAAUUGGAAAAUAGCUAGGUGUGGCCUUUGCUUUUAAUCCGAGCACUACUAAGGCAGAGAUGAACUCUGAAUUCUAAGCAAGCCUGUUCUGUAUAGCAAGUUUCAGAUUAGCCAGGUUAGUGAGACCCUUUCUCGAGGGAAAAAAAAAAAAAACUC